AUUGAACGCUGGCGGCAUGCUUUACACAUGCAAGUCGAACGGCAGCGCGGGCUUCGGCCUGGCGGCGAGUGGCGAACGGGUGAGUAAUGCAUCGGAACGUGCCCAGUAGUGAGGGAUAGCCCGGCGAAAGCCGGAUUAAUACCGCAUACGACCUGAGGGUGAAAGCGGGGGACCGAAAGGCCUCGCGCUAUUGGAGCGGCCGAUGUCGGAUUAGCUAGUUGGUGGGGUAAAGGCUUACCAAGGCGACGAUCCGUAGCUGGUCUGAGAGGACGACCAGCCACACUGGGACUGAGACACGGCCCAGACUCCUACGGGAGGCAGCAGUGGGGAAUUUUGGACAAUGGGGGCAACCCUGAUCCAGCCAUGCCGCGUGCGGGAAGAAGGCCUUCGGGUUGUAAACCGCUUUUGUUCGGGAAGAAAUCCUCUGGGCUAAUACCCCGGGGGGAUGACGGUACCGGAAGAAUAAGCACCGGCUAACUACGUG
rnacentral:rRNA from 1 species